rnacentral:rRNA from 1 species
AUUGAACGCUGGCGGCAGGCCUAACACAUGCAAGUCGAGCGGAUGAGUGGAGCUUGCUCCAUGAUUCAGCGGCGGACGGGUGAGUAAUGCCUAGGAAUCUGCCUGGUAGUGGGGGACAACGUUUCGAAAGGAACGCUAAUACCGCAUACGUCCUACGGGAGAAAGUGGGGGAUCUUCGGACCUCACGCUAUCAGAUGAGCCUAGGUCGGAUUAGCUAGUUGGUGAGGUAAAGGCUCACCAAGGCGACGAUCCGUAACUGGUCUGAGAGGAUGAUCAGUCACACUGGAACUGAGACACGGUCCAGACUCCUACGGGAGGCAGCGGUGGGGAAUAUUGGACAAUGGGCGAAAGCCUGAUUCAGCCAUGCCGCGUGUGUGAAGAAGGUCUUCGGAUUGUAAAGCACUUUAAGUUGGGAGGAAGGGCAGUAAGUUAAUACCUUGCUGUUUUGACGUUACCAACAGAAUAAGCACCGGCUAACUUCGUGCCAGCCGCCGCUGUAAUAC